rnacentral:rRNA from 1 species
UACGGCGGUCAUAGCGGGCGGGGUCCACCCGGUCCCUUUCCGAACCCGGUAGUUAAGCCGUCCAGCGCCGAUGGUACUGCCUCUUUGGUGGGGUGGGAGAGUAGGUCGCCGCCGUAC